GACAUGCAGGAGGAGAGGGAUGAGCAGGCUGAUGCCCACACCCUACCGGCUGGUCAGGAUCAGGGUGCCUCUGGCCUCAAGAUCACCAUGCUCCCGACCAGGUGCAGUGGCUCACGCCUGUAAUCCCAACACUUUGGGAGGCGAAACGGGUGGAUGACCUGAGGUCGGGAGUUUGAGACCAGCCUGACCAACAUGGAGAAACCCCAUCUCUACUAAAAAUACAAAAUUAGCCAGGUGUGGUGGUGCAUGCCUGUAAUCCCAGCUACUCAGCAGGCUGAGGCAGGAGAAUCACUUGAAUCCAGGAGGCAGAGGUUGCAGUGAGCCGAAAUCACACCAUUGCACUCCAACCUGGGAACAAGAGCAGAACUCUGUCUCAAAAAAGAAAAAAGAAAAAAAGAGCCUCAUGCUCCCUGGGGGAAGUAGGGUGUCCUAGGAAGCGACAGCCAUGUCUUCAAACUAAAGAUCAAAAAUGAAAGAUGACAUGUGCAUGGCUUGUUGCAUGGCUGGCAGGGAAACCAGGAAGUCAAGGCUAUGCUUGUCUCCAGGGCAGUGAAGGGCACCCAUCCUGGGGCCCCAACCACUGGGAGGAGCACCUGAAGGUUUCUGGAAAGGAGCUACACACAGUUCUCCUCCAAUCCAAUACCCUCCUCUUCAGACCAGCUCUGGGCCAGGGGGUGUGCUUGGGACUGGAAACUCUGACCUGGCAGGCACAGACAAGCAACCUCCUGCAGGACGUGCACUGCAAAAAACGCCUACAACUGCUGUGAGCGCAGAAGCAGGGAGCAGGAGCCGGGGGACCGGUAUGCAUCAUGGCUUCACAGAAGAGGAGCCCCGCACUGCAAGGCUAGAGUGCAGCGGGAAGAUCACAGCUCGCUGCAGUCUCAAACUCCUGGACUCAAGCAAACUUCCCACCUCAGCUUCCUGAGUAGCUUGGAUUACAGGUGUGAGCCACUGUGCCAGGCUAUGCUGUUAUCCGGGUGGAAACCAUCUAGAAAUAAGCUAAGCAGACUGGGAAAGGUAUCUGUCAUCAGGGACCAGAAAGACAAAAAGAAGCAACUGCACUGGGCAGCGAUUUUCUUAGCCCAAGAAGGAAAGAACACAAGAGGUCAAGUGGCAGGACACACACCAACGGCAAGGGGUGUGCAUCUGGGCCCAGAGCAUGGCUGAAGCAGCCCCCAGCCGUGGGACCAUCGAGAGGAGUCAGGCCUCCAUGCAGGGCCGAGCUGGCCCAGCACCACCCAGCCUGCGGCCACCCCAGGCUAUGUUCUCACGGGGGGUGGGGGCAGGUCCACCGCUUUCUCAGUGGGCACGGCAGAGCAUCUCCUGAAUGUGCCACUAUUCUCUAGCCGCACAACCUUGGGGAAUCCAACACAGGACUUCAGUUCCACAUUUGUAAAGUGAAAGUGACAGCAAGGUCAAGAAUUAUUAAUGAGGGUCAAGUGAAAACUCACAGGAAAGGCUCUGGUCAUGCUGUGAAAGGCUCUGGUCAUCCUCAGCACAUGUUUUGGUAAAAGGGAGCAAGAGAACUUCAUGAAGCAAAGGGACCCGAGCCCAGACACCACCCAGCUCAGCAGCAUUGCUGGGGCCACCAUGUAGGUCUUGUUUCAUGCAGGUAGCCUCUGGUGCCGACAUUCUCAGCCUUAAGACCACGUGCUGCCGCCUCCUCCUCCUUCAAAGCAUCCCCCAAUCUCCCGGCUCAACACAUCUGGCAAGCUGUCUGUGUACCACAUGUAGAGAUGAGAAAAAAGUUUUUCAAGACCCACUUGGCUUCCAAACCAUUGGCUGCUCCACCACCUACCUGCUAGGUACCACUGAGCCUCAUGUGGCCCUCCUGCCACACAUGCGCCAUGGGGACUCACCGCUUUAGUGGACUCCAGGGCUCCCGAGACCAGCGCAUCUCGGCUGUCCCUGCCCUUGCUGCUAAGGUGAGGCGAUGAGGAGGGUGAGUCAUCGAUGUAGGGCAGCCCGUCUUGGUGCCGGCGCUGCUCCUCUGCCCGGUCUACAGCGCAGCCAUACCCAGGUGGUGUUCCGAACGAGCCAUCUGUGUGUGCAAAGAAGCAUCCUGUGUUAGAGACAGAGAAGGGAGCAUCCAUACCCAACCUGUCCCAGCACAUACCCAGCUGACACCAUCUCUGUUCCCGACAAGCAUCCAACAAGGACCUCGGGGAUGCUGAUGGUCCUUCACAAUGGACUGAUCAAAGACCACAAGGGUGACGGGGGAUGAACAUGGGCUCACUCCUCAGACAAUACAAGGGGCUUUCUGAGACAGGUCUGCCCCCUGGCAGGGGUUGUGACAUAAGAACUAUGUAUUUGAUCUUUGCCUACCCCACUCCCUACUUUCCUGGCACACAGUUCCUAAAAACCUUGGAAUCUCCAAAGUAAUAAAUGUCUCUAUGUAUGCUAAUGAAUGACGGGUGCCUGGGGCUCCUGGAAGGGGGCUGGUUGCCAGAAGAACCAACCACAUGAUUAGAGAGUUGGAACCCCCAAUUCUCUGGGGAAGACCCACAGCUGAAGGUUGAUCACCAAUGGCCAGUGAUAUAAUUAACCAUGCCUACACAAUGAAGGCUGUCCAAAAGGACAGGGUUGGGAGAGCUUCUGGGGCUGAAAAUGUGGCAGUGCCAGGAGAGGGCAUGGAAGCUCUGCGCUCCUUCCCACAGACCCUGCUCUAUGUACUUCUUCUGUCUGGCUGUUCCCGAGUUGUGUCUUUUUAUUAAAAAAGUCAUACAGUAA